ACCAUGGACAACGCCGUCCACCAUCUCAUCAGCAUUGUUGGGAUCGGAGCGGGGCUUUGGUAUCGAAGGUGCGGCACGGAAAUGGUCGCAUCUUUGUGCAUUACGGAGAUCUCAACCCCAUUCCUGCAUCUCAGAGAGAUUCUCAAGGAGAUGGGUUACAGAGACACAAACCUAAAUCUCAUCGCAGAUGUAAGUAAUUUAAUUAAAUUAAGGAAUCACUCUUCAUUAAAUUAAAUUAAAUGUUGGUUGCAGAUCUCGUUUGCGGUCACCUUCUCUGUGGCGAGGAUGCUCUUCGGCCCUUUUCUGCUCUACAAAACCUUCUCGACGGAUCAUCCUGUUCUCAUCAAGGCCAUGGCUUUGGGAUUACAGCUGGUCAGUGCAUUCUGGUUCUACAGGAUCGCCAGAAUGAUGCG
rnacentral:lncRNA from 1 species